GACCCGUCUUGAAACACGGACCAAGAAGUCUACAUGUGUGCAAGUCAUGGGAUUUAAUAAACUAAGGCGAAAUUAACUUACUAAAAUUAAAUGGAUUAUUANGUAUAUAAUUAAUAUAUAGAAUUCAUCNUGGGGCGUUCAUUUAAUUAAUAUUAUUUAAUGCAAUUUAUGGUAUAUAUUUAAUUAUUAAUUAGAGCGUACCUUGAGCAUACAUGUUGUGACCCGAAAGAUGGUGAACUAUACCUGAUCAGGUUGAAGUCAGGGGAAACCCUGAUGGAAGACCGAAACAAUUCUGACGUGCAAAUCGAUUGUCAGAAUUGGGUAUAGGGGCGAAAGACCAAUCGAACCAUCUAGUAGCUGGUUCCCUCCGAAGUUUCCCUCAGGAUAGCUGGUGCAUUUAAAUAUAAUAAAAUAAUCUUAUCUGGUAAAGCGAAUGAUUAGAGGCCUUAGGGCCGAAACGACCUUAACCUAUUCUCAAACUUUAAAUGGGUAAGAACCUUGCCUUACUUGAUAUGAAGGUACAGGUUAUGAUAUAUUGUGCCCAGUGGGCCACUUUUGGUAAGCAGAACUGGCGCUGUGGGAUGAACCAAACGUGAUGUUACGGCGCCUAAAUUAACAACUCAUACAGAUACCAUGAAAGGCGUUGCUUGCUUAAAACAGCAGGACGGUGGACAUGGAAGUCGUAAUCCGCUAAGGAGUGUGU
rnacentral:rRNA from 1 species